rnacentral:rRNA from 1 species
GAUGAACGCUGGCGGCGUGCUUAACACAUGCAAGUCGAACGAUGAAGCCGGAGCUUGCUCUGGUGAAUUAGUGGCGAACGGGUGAGUAACACGUGAGUAACCUGCCCUUGACUCUGGGAUAACUGCGGGUAACUGUAGCUAAUACCGGAUACGACCCUCGGAGGCAUCUCCUGGGGGUGGAAAGAAUUUCGGUCAAGGAUGGACUCGCGGCCUAUCAGCUAGUUGGUGAGGUAAAGGCUCACCAAGGCGACGACGGGUAGCCGGCCAGAGAGGGGGACCGGCCAAACUGGGACUGAGACACGGCCCGGACUCCUACGGGAGGCAGCAGUGGGGAAUAUUGCACAAUGGGCGCAAGCCUGAUGCAGCAACGCCGCGUGAGGGAUGACGGCCUUCGGGUUGUAAACCUCUUUUAGCAGGGAAGAAGCGAAAGUGACGGUACCUGCAGAAAAAGCACCGGCUAACUACGUGCCAGCCGCCGCAGUAA